rnacentral:rRNA from 1 species
GACGUAGGGCGCGAGCGUUGUCCGGAUUUAUUGGGCGUAAAGAGCUCGUAGGCGGCUUGUCGCGUCGUCCGUGAAAACCUGCAGCUCAACUGCAGGCUUGCGGUCGAUACGGGCAGGCUCGAGUUCGGUAGGGGAGACUGGAAUUCCUGGUGUAGCGGUGAAAUGCGCAGAUAUCAGGAGGAACACCGAUGGCGAAGGCAGGUCUCUGGGCCACUACUGACGCUGAGAAGCGAAAGCAUGGGGAGCGAACAGG